rnacentral:rRNA from 1 species
UACAGAGGGUGCGAGCGUAAUCGGAAUUACUGGGUGUAAAGGGCGCGUAGGCGGUCCGGUAAGUCCGCUGUGAAAGUCGGGGGCUCAACCCUCGAAUGCCGGUGGAUACUGUCGGGCUAGAGUGCGGAAGAGGCGAGUGGAAUUCCUGGUGUAGCGGUGAAAUGCGCAGAUAUCAGGAGGAACACCUAUUGCGAAGGCAGCUCGCUGGGACGUAACUGACGCUGAGACGCGAAAGCGUGGGGAGCAAACAGG